AUCAGAGUGAAAACAACUGUGUAACCCAACCACCAAAAAGCAGCAGGCCAAACAGAGCGGACUUCAUCAUCUCCUCGGCCAAGCAGCACUACCUUCGCCAUUCCCGAUACGUUCCUGGAGUAAAUCCUUUUACCGGACAUCAAACAAUUGAAGGAAACAUCUGGGACAGAACAUUGGGCAUCGCUGCGUGCCAGGAGUCAGAACACACCUCUUCCAAAGACGGCGACGGAUGGAGGAGAACUGUGAACGCAAAACCUCCCGUACCCAGGGCUGAGAGGGCUGUCUUUCUGUCCAAGAAGCCAUGCGUCGGAACAGUGUUCGGGCGAGUAGACUGGUCCGCCAAGUACGGUGGCAAUCAUAACCGCUAGCAGGUAGCCUUAGGAUGCUACACUCAGAGGUUGAGGGGAG